GCCUUCGUAGUGUAGUGGUCAGCACGCUCGGCGGGUAUUCUAGAGGUCCGUGGUUCGAGUCCCGGUGAGGGCA
rfam:Stegodyphus mimosarum contig109715, whole genome shotgun sequence.